GGACCCGCACAAGCAGUGGAACAUGUGGUUUAAUUCGAUAGUCCACGAAAACCUUACCAAAUCUUGACAUCCUGAUUACUGGAUUGGAAACAAUCUAUACAUUUAGUUGAGUCAGAGACAGGUGAUGCAUGGCCGUCGUCAGCUCGUGCCGUGAGGUGUUAGGUUAAGUCCUUUAACGAGCGCAACCCACGUCUUUAUUUGCCAACAGGUAAUGCUGGGAACUAUAAAGAGACCGCUAUUGACAAAAUAGAGGAAGGUGUGGAUGAUGUCAGGUCAUCACGUCCCUUAUGAUUUGGGCUACACAUGUGUUACAAUGGUGACUACAAAAAGUUACAAUGCCGUGAGGCGGAGUCAAUCUUACAAAAAGUCAUCUCAGUUCGGAUUGCAGGCUGCAACUCGCCUGCAUGAAGUUGGAAUUGCUAGUAAUCGUAGAUCAGCAUGCUA
rnacentral:rRNA from 1 species